rnacentral:rRNA from 1 species
AGUGAACGCUGGCGGUAGGCCUAACACAUGCAAGUCGAACGGCAGCACAGUAAGAGCUUGCUCUUACGGGUGGCGAGUGGCGGACGGGUGAGGAAUACAUCGGAAUCUACUUUUUCGUGGGGGAUAACGUAGGGAAACUUACGCUAUUACCGCAUACGACCUACGGGUGAAAGCAGGGGAUCUUCGGACCUUGCGCGAUUGAAUGAGCCGAUGUCGGAUUAGCUAGUUGGCGGGGUAAAGGCCCACCAAGGCGACGAUCCGUAGCUGGUCUGAGAGGAUGAUCAGCCACACUGGAACUGAGAUACGGUCCAGACUCCUACGGGAGGCAGCAGUGGGGAAUAUUGGACAAUGGGCGCAAGCCUGAUCCAGCCAUACCGCGUGGGUGAAGAAGGCCUUCGGGUUGUAAAGCCCUUUUGUUGGGAAAGAAAAGCAGCAGGUUAAUACCCCGCUGUUCUGACGGUACCCAAAGAAUAAGCACCGGCUAACUUCGUG